rnacentral:rRNA from 1 species
AACGCGAAGAACCUUACCUGGGCUCGAACGGCUUCCUAACGCCGGUAGAAAUACCGGUAUCCCGCAAGGGAGUGGAGUCGAGGUGCUGCAUGGCUGUCGUCAGCUCGUGUCGUGAGAUGUUGGGUUAAGUCCCGCAACGAGCGCAACCCUUGUCCUGUGUUGCCAUCAUUCAGUUGGGAACUCGCAGGAGACCGCCAGCGAUAAGCUGGAGGAAGGUGGGGAUGACGUCAAGUCCUCGUGGCCUUUAUGUCCAGGGCUACACACGUGCUACAAUGGACGGUACAAACCGCAGCAAACCCGCGAGGGGGAGCCAAUCGGAAAAAACCGUUCUCAGUUCGGAUUGCAGGCUGCAACUCGCCUGCAUGAAGCUGGAAUCGCUAGUAAUGGCAGAUCAGCACGCUGCCGUGAAUACGUUCCCGGGUCUUGUACACACCG